CAUUGUAUGGACAGACAAACUAAGGUUGGGUUAAAUGGCUUGCCAAAAGCAUACAGCUACAGCGGGCCACUGAUGGGGCUUGAGACCAGGUCUUGCAGUUCCUCCUCCAUCAGAUACAGAGGCCUAAACUCCUGCAGAAACGUGUGAUGGCUUGUGCAAGCAGUGGGUCCCAGCCUGGCCAAACAUUAGACCUCACCCGGGUGUGGCUAGAUGUUGCCAAGGACAUGAGGCUUGGAGUCCCCACCCAGGUCCAUUCAAGGAGAAUCUCUGGGUGUGGGGCCUGGGCACCAGUAUUCCUGGAGUUCUCCAGGUGGCUGCAAUGGGCAAAACUGAAAUCAUUCUGUUAGUAAUCCGGAUCUGCUUCCUUCUUUCUCAAGGACCUGCUUUCCAGUUGUCUUUUUUUCAAUAAUAAUGUUCUAUUUCUCAAGUAUAAGAAUAAUACUUAUUUGUAGAAAUUUUAGAAGAAAGGUAGGACGAAGAAAAAAAUCGCCAAGAGAUCCAUUGUUAAUAUUUUGAUGUAUUCUCCUCUAAUCUUUGUACAUAUCUACCUACAAAUUUUGGUAAUAUAUACUAAUAUUUUCUUUUGAUUUCAUAUGGUAAAUAGUUUCCAAUGUUGCCAAAUAGUUUUCAAAAACACUAUUUUAAUGUGAAAGCAGACAAGAUUUUUAAAUAUACUGUCCCCAACAUUAAUAGUGAUUAACAUUGGACUCAAUAAAUAAACACUUAAGAAAAUAAAAUAAAAUUAGUAAAAUCAUUAUAAUGGCUGCAUAAUAAUUUAAUGGGCUCACCUCCUAUAAAUCAGUCUUUAACAUAGGACACUUAGAUUGUUUCUAGUUUUCUGUUGUUAUAAGUAAGUCUUCUAUGAAGAUCCUUGUACCUACAUUUCUGUGCACCACUUUCUUAGAAGUGAAAUUAAUGAGCUGGAGGGUAUAAACCUUAUGAAGUUUGUUGAUAAACAUUGCUCAAUUGCUUCCCAAAAAGGGUACAUGAAUUGCUGGUCCCCUCGGUGUAAAGAGAAUUGGGAAAGAGAAUUGUUACAGUCUUUGCAAAAUUAAGUAUUUUCAUUCUGUGAUCCGUCAGUUUGCUAUGAUUAUUAAUGAGGCUGGACUUUUUAUAUCUUUAUUGGUCAUUUGUAUUUCUUCUUUUGUGAAUGUUCAUGUCCUUUGCCUUCCCCUGCCUUUUGGGUGUUUAUCUUUUUUCUUACAUAUGAAGCAUACUAAGUAUAUAACACUUUUCCAUUCAUUUGUUUUGUAAAUGUUUUCCCUAAAUUUAUCAUUUAAUUUGGGUUGUUGACAUACACAAGAGCUUAUUGAUUUUAUGCUCAGAAAUACCUUUAGACUGUUUGAUCAGGUAAAUAGUUACCAACAGUUUCUUCUACAAGUCUCAAUGAAUAAAAGCCUGCUUACAUAGGAGCAGUUUUUCUGGUUAAGCAGGAUUUUAUUGGUCUGGACUAAGAAAACCAGUCCAUCUCCUACAGGAACCUGACUUGAAAUUAUCAAAACUAUAAUACUUUUUAGUUUACAUUCUUUGAACUACCCCACUGGCUACAUGAUAAUGUAAAAAACAUGUUGGUUGUUCCCAUCUUUGUAGGGCAAAACAUUUAAUUUUUUUUAAUGUUUAUUUAUUUGAGAGAGAGAGAGAGCCGGAGACAGAGCACAAGCAGGGGAGGGGUAGAGAGAAAGGGAGACACAGAAUCUGAAGCAGGCUCCAGGCUCUGAGCUGUUGGCACAGAGUCGGACGUGGGGGUCGAACCCGCAAACUGCAAGAUCAUGACCUGUAGUUGGAGGUUUAACCUACUGAGCCACCCAGGUGCCUCAGUAGGUCAAAAUAUUUAAAAGCAAACAGUAUGCAUAGCCUCUCCCAAAAGACUGCCCCACCCACAAAUUAACAAAGUCCGCUUUCUCUCUGAUUUCAGAAAUAGGGUAGGUUUUAGGAGGGUACCCCUGGGCCCUAGGUGGAGACUUUCUUUCAACCCAAGCCUCUCCGAGUCUCACGCCUUGGGGACAGACAGACUCUAAACCUGAGCAGGGUUGCUCUGGAAUGUAAUAUCUGGUAGAUAUUUACACUAAAAAAUUUUAUGUUGCUUCUCUGACCUUCAAAUUUAACUUGGAUGCCCUGUAUUUUUGUUUGCUAAAUCUGACAUCCCUGAUCCUGAGGCUUCCUUUCAGUGGUGAUGUUGGGGUCUGCAUCCCAGGCGUGCCCACAGGAAGCAGUACACAGACGUCGCACAACUGGUAGAUCACAUAAAGGUGUUUACCUGCCUCCCUCCAAAGAGGCUCUCAUGGCCAAGGGGCAGCCUCUUCCCUGGGCCCCAGGGAUACUUUCUAAGAAACCCACUGCAUUGACUUUUCUAUACCAAUCAGCGGGUACUUAGAAACCUAAGCUCUUCACCCAGGCCUUGUGGGCUGCUCCCAGGCUUCCUGCAUGUCAUGGUUCCUCUUCCUCCUUUUUCUAGCAGUUGUGAGGUUCUUCUUGGGCUGGUGGAUCCAGGCAGGCCCAGGUCCACGGAUCACACUUUGAGUGGCAAGCGUCUGAAGCUUUUCCUGAUUGGCUGCAGGAUGGCCCAGGCGCCUGGUCUUUUCAAUUCCAGGGCUUUGGCGAAACCGCCAGGCCCAGGAGGUCGGAAUCCAAGGCAAUGUGAUCCACGUCUGUGAGAAAGGCAACCGCAGGGAGAGGGCAAGGAGGCACAUGGCAGCAUUGUACCUACUGCACUUCCCCAACCCCUCAUGACUUGCUUUGGCCCGUGAAAUGAGAGCAGAAGUGACUUGUAUUACUUCCGGAUGAACACUUGGAGAAUUAGUGCUUGAUUUGCCCCGUCCUCGCUUCCUGCCUUCAGGGUCGAGGAGGCAGCAUGUCCAGUUCCAGCUGCCUGCGUCCCUGGGUGGCUGUGGGAAACAGAGCUCCUCUUGACCCACAAUGGACACAUUUCAUGAUUGAGGAAUAAACUUUUAUGUCACACCAC